rnacentral:rRNA from 1 species
GAGUUUGAUCUUGGCUCAGGAUGAACGCUGGCGGCGUGCCUAACACAUGCAAGUCGAACGGAGUUGUUUGAGGAAAUCCUUCGGGAUGGAAUCUUCCAACUUAGUGGCGGACGGGUGAGUAACGCGUGAGCAAUCUGCCUUUCAGAGGGGGAUAACAGCCGGAAACGGCUGCUAAUACCGCAUAAUGCAUCGGAUUCGCAUGUUUCUGAUGCCAAAGAUUUUAUCGCUGAAAGAUGAGCUCGCGUCUGAUUAGCUAGUUGGCGGGGUAACGGCCCACCAAGGCGACGAUCAGUAGCCGGACUGAGAGGUUGAACGGCCACAUUGGGACUGAGACACGGCCCAGACUCCUACGGGAGGCAGCAGUGGGGAAUAUUGCGCAAUGGGGGCAACCCUGACGCAGCAACGCCGCGUGAUUGAUGAAGGUCUUCGGAUUGUAAAAAUCUUUAAUC